rnacentral:rRNA from 1 species
GGUGGGGAAGAACCACAGGGAUUGCCCUAGUAACGGCGAGUGAAGCGGCAACAGCUCAAAUUUGAAAUCUGGCGUCUUCGGCGUCCGAGUUGUAAUUUGCAGAGGGCGCUUUGGCAUUGGCAGCGGUCCAAGUUCCUUGGAACAGGACGUCACAGAGGGUGAGAAUCCCGUACGUGGUCGCUAGCCUUUACCGUGUAAAGCCCCUUCGACGAGUCGAGUUGUUUGGGAAUGCAGCUCUAAAUGGGAGGUAAAUUUCUUCUAAAGCUAAAUACUGGCCAGAGACCGAUAGCGCACAAGUAGAGUGAUCGAAAGAUGAAAAGCACUUUGGAAAGAGAGUUAAAAAGCACGUGAAAUUGUUGAAAGGGAAGCGCUUGCAGCCAGACUUGCCUGUAGUUGCUCAUCCGGGUUUCUACCCGGUGCACUCUUCUAUAGGCAGGCCAGCAUCAGUUUGGGCGGUUGGAUAAAGGUCUCUGUCAUGUACCUCCUCUCGGGGAGAACUUAUAGGGGAGACGACAUGCAACCAGCCCGGACUGAGGUCCGCGCAUCUGCUAGGAUGCUGGCGUAAUGGCUGUAAGCGGCCCGUCUUGAAACACGGGACCCCAAGGGAAA